UUAUCUACUAUGCCCUUUUUAAAAUCAAGGAAACACAUGUUGGGGGGGGGGUAAAGGAGCAUUUAAGUAACAGACAGGACUCAAAAUCAACGCCUGUCACACACCUCAGGCUUCUGCUCUCUUCCGAGUAACAUCAGGACUCCUCUAAGGCGCAUGAUCGUUCUUUAGUGACAUCAGAACAUUCUGGAACUCUCCUCCUCCCUUAGAGGAUACGGGCAGAAGAGGAGAUUCGCGUUUCUCCUCCAGGACACCUGCACAGGAGUGGGGGCCUUCCUGGGGCGGAGGAGAAGCUUCCGUGAGGGAAAACAUGCUACCGUGGUGAGCGGCGUGCUCGCUAAGGAAUCUCUCUCCAGCUACCACAGUGGACACUGACUUUCCCAGCUGUGUUUAAGAUGGGGCAUGGAAACCGGGUAAUGGAAAUCUGGAAAAUUGUCCAUUCUGGAUGGAAACCUUGAUGUGUGCCCCGCGCUCCAGCUCACACGCAUGCUUGCCAUCUUCUUUCAAAAAUAAAGAGGAAAUUAUGAAUAGCGAAAAAAGAUGUAAUUUGCGCAAAUGAAAAAAAGAUCUUCUGAUCCGAUCCUGAGAGAG